UGGCGGGGUACCUCCGGCGAGCUUCGGCAGACAAGGCGCGAAGAUCUGACUCCAAGACCGCCAUGAAAGCCAUGGCUGAAGCUUCCGUGGCUCGAGUUCAAAGAUGAAACAGGCAAUUUCUAGGGAUUCGAUGAAGAUAAAAGCGCUACUAGAGAAGAUCGACAACAAGAAUUGAGAGAGAGAGAGAACGCGAGAGAGAUUAUAUUGAGAUCGAUAAGCCUAAUUGACGAUUGAACAAGCUAGUAGUAGAUCGUCAUCUCGGAGAUCUUCUUUUUUUUUUUUUUUCCUGCGAUUU
rnacentral:misc_RNA from 1 species